CAGCAGGCGAAGCGACCAACCUGGGCGACAGGUUCACUUGCUCGAGCGCCUUGGAUUGGAGAUCCGCCGGGUAGUCCCGGACGCAGCCGAUGCGAGCCCCCGCGCCGGUGGUCCAUCUGCACGACAGCCGCCUCCCGAGGGAACUCAUCGUCAUCGACGGAGCACUUCUGAGAAGCAAAAGGCACGAGUGGGUUGGUUAAAUGCCCCAGGGUGGUGAACACAGUACAAUGUAUGGUCAGAUACACCUUCGCAUCACUCCACCAGAUAAGGUCACAAGGAGAGCUUACCGGACCAAGAUAGCUGAUGCACUGCUUUUGAAGCUUGCUUCUUGGGCACCUCUCCAGAUUUACUUCUCUUCCGUCUCCGACGUCCAACCUUCACAUUCGACCAAAGGAAGGAACAGACCAGACAUCAUAAUACAAAUGCAAGUUGUGCCCAUAGCGAUGCCGGGGAUCAAUCUGCACGGUGCCCGGUUGUGGAUUAGAUUACCAUAAAGCCAUCUCUCUGUGCUACCAAGGAAGAGGAUACUCACGGCUUCUAACCAAUGUUGCAGUGCUAGCUUCUGAGCCUUUUCAUCUUUGGAGAGGCCCUUACCGACCUGAGAAAAAUGGAUGCACACACAUAUCAUAUUGAUUGGAUAUACAUUGGAACAAUUAUAUAGCUUAUGCGUCAUGACAUAUCAAUCCGAUCGAUUACCCUGGCUGCUCUUCUUUUCGCUCUUGCCCAUUUAGAGACUGCAGGUUCUGGCUUCUCGACGUCGAAGAACAAGAUGGAACUACGCUUGAGAGAUGCGAAAUCCAGUGCCUUCCACCUGCAAAAGGGGAUUGUUUUUCUUUUUGAGCGUCAAGCUCGCUCGAAGGCCGAGGGGAAGAGAGCUCGACGAGCUGUUGCGGGAGCUUCACAUGGGGCACCGCAAAGUUCAUCGGCACCUUGAGACAAGAUGGCUGCAACGUAACAUCAUCAUCAUCUGCGGCUUGUUCUCCGAUGGGAACGGAUGCGUCGAGCUUUGGUGUCUCAGGUUCCCAGUUCCUGAAGCUUAAUGAUCUCUCCGUCACGGCGUCAUCGCACGCACCAGAGACCAUCCUGUUCGACGAAUUGCUCCUUCCGAAACUGAGUGAUCUCAAAAUCCUAUUGGCCUUCUUUUCACCGAGGCUAAUGGAUCCGGCUGCAGCAAACCAAUUCCACAAGGGCACGGAGAAGGAUAAGCCCAUGGAAGUGCUGCCCCUGUUAGAUUACAAAGGUCCAACCACAACAACCAUGUCACGGAGCAGUAAAGCCAGCAUCAUCGCAUCUCCGACAAAUAGAUCAGUAGAUGGAAGAGGCAGAAGAAAGAGGGAGCGGAACAAGCUUAGUUCAACGUACCUAGCAGAUCACAGAAGGAACCCGACUGCUCGGAUGAGAAGAAAGCUGAGAAGGUAAGGAGGACGAUGCCACUGAGCAGUGCUCCGUUCCUGGAAUGAGCUCUGUGAAAACUCAACUUUCCAUCUCCUUCAAAGGAGAGAGAGAGAGAGAGCACAGCUUUUUUGAAGCCUGUGUUGGAUUAAAUUAUGGCUGCUGCAUGACUAACCAUCCCCACUACCCAACUUGCUUAGAUUUUAUAUGACCAUUUGAGAGAUGCGCUGUUGGAUUUGUUUUGCUUUCAAGGAUUGACCAUUGACUUUUUAGUGCCCACAGGAGGUAGGCGUUUCUUCCUUGCCAAAGAAAAGGAUGAUUUCAGCUCCAAGCAUACGUAAUCAGAUAAGUCCUUUUGACUAUAUAUAUAUAUAGUAUACAGCAUGAGUAUAUGUAUAAUAAGAACUCAUGCAUUCACAUGCCUUUUCUAGCAUUAAAGGAGCUCAUCAACUGGAUUCAAUGAACUAAUUUCAACUGGGCAGCUGCCCCCCUUGACUUUGAAGAGGUCUUAAGUUACUCCCACAGUACAGCAAUGUUAUACAGGAGAGCAAACAAGAGGCCAACCUAUCUUCUCAAUAGGAGAACAAAAGGCUCAUGUGUCUGUGGGACAUGGAACGGAGGUUCCUUGAAGCUUCACGGCUGCGAGCUCUCUCGUCAAAGAACAGCAGAUCUCUCUCGGGAAAACAACAGAGUAAGACAAACAGGGAGUUGAAGGCCGAGAAAAAGAUUCAACACUGGAUUACAUAUUAUAUUAUGUGGAUUGCUCGGUUCUGCACAUGCAAGCGUCCAAGAAUCGAAAGAGCAUUGCCACCGGAAAUGCGCCUACUGUCUUUUUGACCCAUAUGCGGAGCUUGAAUGCAGAGUCUGCGACCGGUGAGCUCGCUCGCUCGCGAGCUUUCAGCGGCGGAAAGGAGAAGUUGACACGUAGCCUGGUCAAAUACCAUGUCUUCUUCGGACUGCAAUCCUGUGAGUACGUGUUGCCGUCCUCUCAUUUUUAGGCUUGUUUGGGGUCAUUCCGCUGCUUCCCAGAAAAACCAAUGAGAUUGUGCGUGUGGGGUGAAGGAGACGGGCACGGUUGGUAGCUUUCCCCGCUGUUUCUUCUCCUUCGAUUCCGAGAAGGUCGACUGUGCAGCAGGAGGGGUUUCAUAUCCGGGGAAGGAGGAGGGCGGAAAGGAUCCCCCGUCCUCCACGUUACUUCUUCAA